GGUCGGAUGGUGGAAUUGGUAGACACGGAGGUCCCAAAAGCAUCUGUCGCAAGACGUGAGGGUUCGAGUCCCUCUCUGACUA
rnacentral:tRNA from 1 species